rnacentral:lncRNA from 1 species
AUCUCCCUCCGCCGUGCCCUGGGUAGCGUGCUCCACCGCACCGGUCGCUGCUUUCCCCAACCUCCACGGCGCUCCCUUCCUGCCUCAGCUCGGACCGCGCCUAGCCGAGCGGCUCCUCCCACAUGCGCUCCUCUGUCUCCCAUGGCGCACGCGUGCCCCCUGGUCGGCUGCUGCUCCCUGCGCUCGCCGUGGCUCCCUGCUGUAGCUCGCCCCCAGCUCGCCGCACGGCUCCCAUGGCGUGCUCCUCUCUGCCAAGCCGUCGAAUCCCGUCUUCCUCUGCUCGCGCGGGCCGCGCCCCUGCUUCCCCUCCCUAGCUGAGCUCGCCGGUUCCCUUUCCCCAAGCUCCACGGCUGGCCGUGCCCAGCGUCCUCCUCUCAGCUCCCCACGCGCACCGGCUUGCUCCCUGCUCGGUUCCGUGACCGCACCGUGUGCCCAUCUCCUGUGCGCGCGUGCUCCCUCCCUGUUCCUCCAAACCAGUUGAGCUCCUCCCCAUGGCCGUACUGAGCUCCUUCCCUACGCCAGUUGGAUCUCUCUGGUGCUCGCCCAGUCUGGCGCGGCAAACGGGGAAAGAAACAGCCGAGUUCCUCUGCGCGCAGCCACGUCUUCUCGCUCGGCCUGCUCCGGAUCCGAAGCUGGUCACCCUGUGUGCUCGGCUUUGCCUUGUCGCAAAACCCCGACGCCGUCGAGCCUCGCUGCCCAUCGCGAAGUUCCCUGCUGUCAGCCUCCGCACCUGUCCUAGGCCGUCGUAGCCAGUUUGCCUCCGUCCCGUGGUGGUGUUGUGCUGCCGUUAAGUCCCGAUAUCGAUCCGGUGGUCGUCGAAGUGAAGCUCUGAACGGAUUCGGCCACAUCCAGCACUACCCAUGUCGUUGUUGUUCGCCUUCGUGCUGUGAGCGACAACAUCGUCAUUUCCUUCAUGUGCUCAUCCUCGAUCUCCGCCUCACCAUCACCCUUGAUCACAGCACUGUGUCGACGACUUGCGAUCCUCACUCUCGCGCUCACGCUUCGUCGAAUGCCACUCCAGUACUCGUCAGAAGAAGAGCUUCAACAGUUGAUUACUGAAGAAAAGAAGAACCCUGGGUGACAUCUACUUAGUACUCGACGAAAAGUCUGAAGUAGAAUUUAUCGUCGUGUCCAUGGAAGUGGAGCGACCUAAUAUUGGUAAGCGAACUCGUUACUUCGGAUAGUUGGAAUGUUAAUUUGAUUGGCUAGAUUUAUUAAUCGUAAUAAUCCUCGUGUUGGCACAUGCGCGUUGUGGUAAUGUUAAAUAUGUGUGAAAUACGAUGGAGUUAGUAAUGCGAAAGGUAGAUUAAAUUAUACGAUAUUCAGGCGAGCUGAUGACCUAAAAGAUAGGCUUAGUAUUCCUAUCAGCUAGUUGAUAGAUUUUCUAGUGUCAUUAUGUUAAUUUGGUUAAUUGAUAUAGUCGAUGCCCUACUUAAUUAGUUAGUUUAUUCUAGGUUUGGUAUUUAGUUCGAUGUCAUGAGGGAUGUGCAAAUUACCUCGUGCAAUUAACAGUGAAUGGCAUCGACCUAUCUAAUUAGCGUGGAAUUCAAGAUAAUUGAGAAACACAAUUUAGAAAGUUAGUUAAUAUGCCCCCUUACUCUAAGUUGCCGGUAUUCGAAAAUAGUGAAUAAAAAUGUGACGAGUAAUUUGAUAUUGGGUGUUUUAACAAAAGACUUGUGCUUAGCUUAUUAUUACUUGAUGUUUGAAGUAGAUGCGAUUACGCUAGAAAAGUGUAAUAAUUGGGCAUAGUCGUAUAUCGGUAACUAGUGUUUCCGUAUAAAAUUGUACAACGCCUCGCCGCUAGGUGUUUAAUUCGCUAUCGCGUAGCACUAUUUAGGUUUGUAAUAUUCUUGUCUAUAUGCAUUCAUGUGCAUAAUGCAUUUCAUUCAGGUACGUUAAUUAAUCGCGUGAUGCUGAAGACGAGCCAAGUCGACCCCAAGCGCGGGCUAAUCCGCAUGGUGAUGCUGAUGGACGAACCUGCCUGAACAAAUGUCAAGACAAAAGGAUGGUCGUCAAGUGGUCGCCACCUAACAAACACUAACAUAGUGUUUAUUCCAGGCAAGCCCCGGUACAUGCAACCCCUUCCUUGUGUUUUUAAAUAAUUUUUUACACACUUUAAGUCUAGCGAAAUGUGCAUUAGGUUUAUAGGAGUUGCUUGGAAACCCUUUGAUGCAUUGGCUACCUUGAAAUCCAUUCCUUCUAUAGAUACUUCUGGUGAAGUAUCAAAUAUGAUUUACAAAAUUGCUUAGCCUUGCCUAGAGGUAAAUCUUGCGGAUAGAGGUUGUCCUUUGCGUUAAUGCCUAGCUCAGGGGUUAUCCUGAGGAAGGAUGGCUUCUGCCUGCAAGAAUAUUUUCAUUGGGAGCAGUGGUGGGAUCUUACUGCAAAGUUCCCUAUAAUGCUCUUUUCAUCCUAAGGAAUACAAACAAUCCUAAGGAUGGAAGUACUUAAAUCCGGACUUGGGCUAGGAACAGGUGAUGUUCUACCCAGGUUGAUUAAGGAUUAUACUGAAUGUAGGCUUGAUGAUCGAGGACCUUUUAACUGGUCACAUGCCUCAUCAUGGGUAAGCUUUGCCUCGGGCAGACUAAUACCAGAAUAAGACAACACGCAAUGGGAGUGGAGAGAUGGUGAGAGUAGUGUGUACCCUCCGUGGCAAGAGGCUGGACGGUGGUGUAUUUGUGCUCUCGGUUGGCGUGAACCUAAUCUGGACUUAAGAACCCCGGUGGCGAGUUGACAUAUGCAAGAGUUAAGUGCUACAUAUGUCGUGUGAUUGGAGAUCCCCAACUGGGUAUUAAUCGAUAUAGAUCGCCGUUACUUCUCGGACAUGAAGACUUGGUCACUGCCAUGCAAUCUAAGUCAUGGAUGGAAUCUUAAUGAGCAAAAAUCAUGUUGGAUUGAAUAAUGUGAUGGUGAAAUUAGACUAGAUGCAAACAAGGUCUAUUAAUACUUAAUCUAGCAUUAAAAUGUUGGAAGUAAGGACUCACUUUAGUAAGCUAUUUCUGCAAAAUUAUCUAAGUUGACUUGCUUAAGCCUUUUCCUUGAUUCCUAUUUAACCAGCAUAUCCUUGAGAGUCUUUUCUUUAGUCGGGUAAGUCUUGCUAGGUACUUGCGUACUUAGGGUUUUACCCAUUGUUGCUGCAGGUUACGAGUCACUUUGAUUGUGAUUGGUGUUAAGCGCCAGUGGGCACGACCUUCUUAUAAGUCUAAGUACUUCUUCUAUACUUCUUAUUGAGGAUUGUCACUUAAGCUAGCAUAUAUUUCAAACUUAUAAACAAUUUAUAACAAUUCAAAGUUAUUUCUUUGAAUCAAUUUUGUAAUCACUCCGAUCAUGUACAUUGUAAAACUUGAUGUAACAUGUAAAAUUUGGUAAAAAGAUUUCCGCUGCAAAAUUGUUGGUGUGUGAUUUGUGUUUACUUAAUCACACGGUUCUGGUUAUAAGUGGUUUAUCCGGGGUCCUUGGGACACUCGGACGGAUCCUGUUAAGUUAUCUGGUGCACAUGCACAGCCGUCCGAGGUCUUUGAGACAAGGACAGGUGCAUGUGGGCCCAAUAACUUGGGAGGUUCUGCCACAGCUGGUAUCGGAGCAGGAUUAAGUAUAUACGGUCACAUACGUAUUUUCAAAAAAAAAGUUUGGUUUCGAAAAACCUAUUUUCAACUAAUCACAUUGUUUGGCUUUGAAAAACAGUUUUGAAAAACUAUAAUGCUUGUGACAUCCUUUGUUAAGCCCUAAAUUAAGGACUAUUAGGUGGCUUAUUUAAAAACCACUAACCCACAAUCGGGGGUAUUGCAUACAUGUGUAUUGUUAUUUUUGAGGCCAUUCAGUUUUGAAUGGAUCGAGGCUCAGGUAAGGCGAGAUGUGAGAGCAUGACCGAACAAACGUCGGUCUAGGGAAGAGUAUAAAAAGCGCUUGACUAUAUACAUGUUUUACAUAUGUAUAUAUGAAGGCUGCGAUAUGGAGUAUUUACUUUUCUGGGAUCCAAUACCCCAUGGAUGUGUAUGGGUAUACAGACAUGGGAAUACUGAGAAGUGUAAUGUACUUGCAACGACGCACCUACGCUCAGGUAAGAAGGUGAGUUACCAUAAUGAGUUGCCCUAUGGUUAAAGUGUGGCAACGACGCCUAUGCAUGGCUCGGCGCUUAAUGAUGAGCUGGCCUCCAUAUAGCAAUAUAUGGAGUAUAAACUGUGAUAAACUGUCAUGUGUGGAUCUUGCAUCAUGGGAAAUUGGGUUGUGAUGGAAUUUUCUACAGGUACACUAACCUCGAAUAUGUAUGUGUAGCUGACGACUAGCAAAAUACCGUGAGAGUCGUAUGUAUGCCACAGAGAUAGAACGGUACUGCCACAUUAGAUUGGCACAAAUUCGUGAGGACGUAUAGGACGAGCAUGCAUCCUGAUUGUUGCAUCAUGUUUGUCACCUAUACACCCAAAAUGCUUUUCUCAUCUUUAUUCCAGUAGCCGAUGAUUGUAAAUGAUGUGGGUAUUAGAGAUACUUGUUUAGAUGGCUUCCAGCUUUUCUUAAUUUGACCAUUAGUGCAAAAUGUGUUUGCUCUUAUGCUUGAUGUGGCAAUAGAAUGUUUGUGAGCUGUUUGCCUAAACCCAAAAUUAGGCCAUGUUCUUAUUUAGUGAACCAUGACCCAAAUUUGAAUUAUCCAUUAUCACUCCAUGACCAAACACAUACAAAUAAAUGCUUAGAUAAUUUCUUUGCUGGGCAUAAAGUGUACUCAGGCUUAAAACAAGAAUCUCGAGUCAUAUUUCCUUCCAAAACCAUUCCCUUGUUCGGUUGGUGCAAUUUGAUAUCUCUAUUCUAUUUUGCCUCUCCUGGAGAAUUGCAUUGUUGCUUUAUCAACCCAACCUAGGAAACACAUGUCCGAUUAUUUUCUUGAGUUUGAUGCCUUUGGUUUCCUCAUAUUUAUCGAAGGCAUACCAACUUCAUCUUGUGAUUGUUUUCCCUCCGUGUCUAAUCAGAUACUAAUCCUUGGCCUUGUAAUCGUUGCGAUGGGCAUAGAAAUAUGCUUGGGGCUGAAAUAACAGUCUCCCAUCGUACUCCUUCCUCAAUUUAUUUUUGGUUAUGGCCAUGCCUUGUUCAUUUCAUCGGGCUCUCUACUUGUAACCAUUCUGACAGGUAGAGUCUCUUUAUAUAUUGUCCCCCCUACUCAUUCUAUUGGUGUGGCGAGAUUUCUCAUUGGUUACAUCUGGUAAUGGCGUUAUGACUAAAAUUGAUGAUGUCGUGACGAAACCGAGGGCCUCCUGUGAAUGUACACACAUGGUUGUGCUGCUCGGCACGCGCUGGUAUCACAGUGGUAGUUGUCAUCCAUUAUGAGACUAUAUCAAUGUGUUAUCUUGGCACAAUGUCUAGUUUUCCCACGUGAGAUUCAUUAUUGGUGCCAGUUUUGUAAUGGUGUCAUGGUUAAGGACUUAUUGUGCCGCCGCGAAACUGAGAGCCCCUUGUGAAUGUACACGCAAGGUUAUGCUGCUUGGCGCAUGCUGGUAUCGAGGUCUCUAGUCAUGAUCCAUUGUGGAACUACACUGAUGUGUUAUCUUUCGUGGACCUUCCCUUGAAACAGUUUUUAUGUUGUUUGUCAAGUGAUCAAGCAACAUCUAUCAUCUCUGUCAGAUCAAAAGGGCAUACCACUUUCAUGUGUGGUCUCUUUUCUUUUGAUCUUAGUAGUGACUGCACGUAUACAAGUUCCCUUUACGUCCUUUGUGUAAAGGUGAAGCCUUGGAUCUUUUUAGUGUUGGAGAGACAACUGAUUAGCUCUCAAAAUGGAGAUAUGUUUCCCCUACUGCUGAAAUGUAGGAGUUUGUUCAUUCGCUCCCUUAUUUAAUCCAUGUAUUCCCGAACCAAGUCAGUUCAUCUCGCAUGAAGAAACAGAUGAACAACCUAACCAAAUGGAUUUCUACCCAAAUACAUUAUCUCCUAUUAGCAAAUGUGAACUCUCAAUUCUUGGCUUACCGAUGGAUAAUAAGAGGACUUACUCAAUGUCAAAAGUAGUUCAACAAGUUGGUUUUACUAACUUGUAACUGCCCAAUGAACAAAGGUUGAGUUUAGAGAUCGUUUUAUCGAGUUGUCUGAACUCACUUUGGUUCAACCCAUCCUAAGGAAGUGCUUGCAAGAAUUAAGUUAAGUUGGCCAGUAACCACCUAGUUUUUGCUCUAGUCGUGUCUCGAUCGCCUCACGUAUGGUUUUCUAACGUGUGUGAUCAGUUCGAGCCAUGAUUAGUGCUCGAUAAAAUGGAUUGGUUACGAAGGUAGCAUCUACAGAUCCCUCCGCUGGUGAUUUUCUCGAAUUUAUAUCACCUUUCAUAGACUUGGAUAACACAAGUUAACUGUGAUGUUAUUUGACAUUCACACCCAUCUGUGUGCUAUGAAUUUCUCGUGACCACUUGUUGGUAAACCUCUUUCUGUGUGUUUUACCCAAGAGGUUGCAUGUGGUUCUGUUUAGGUAAAAUCGUGUAUUUACCGCUCGCUCAACAGACUCAGAUAGUACAGUGUUAUCAGAAAAAACAAACUGCAUACAUGGAAUCUUAUGUGUUCUUCUGGUAGACAUUGUCUAUACUAAUGGACAUCUUUAAAUUAGCCUAAGGCGAUACAUGAUAUGUCCACUAGAGAAACCACAUUCAGAGACACUCGCCUUUGCUUGGAACUGUCUCAUGAUUAUCGCUGAUAUGGACAUGGGUUACAUGCUUCUCUACUCUUAAAAGUUUCGCUCCGAAUUUCAGGACAAGAUUCUUUUAAGGGAGGAGGGCUGUAACACCCCUGGUGUUAUAUUCCGCUCGACAACGAGUAUGGAUUUAAGCAUGUCAUAUCAGUGGAUAAAACAAAUGCUAAAAUUUUAAUCAUUUCCGUCUAUCAUGAUUUUAAUAUCGCAUUUGUUUCGUUGUCGUGAGUUCGACACCGUUUUUAUUUAUCCGGGCUCUUCCUAAAUUUUCGUGAUGUUCGGAACAUAGCUGUUCCAAAAAUCGGUGAGUCCGAUGAUUAUUUAAAAUUUAUCGCUCGCGCGAAUGCGAACUCGGAAGCCCGACCCACUCGGAUGAUUUUAUCCCGAACAGAUUAAGAAGAACUCGACGACUAAGCUUUCAGUGUAAAAUAAUUUAAUCCCCUUCUGUCAACCAUGACAUCGCGUCUACAGAUUCUUGAUUGAAUUAUUCUCUAGUCGAGUGUUCGAGUAGCGAACGGAAAUCAUCUGAAGUCAACUGAAUCAAAUGCAGAUUAAAAUACAGAAGCUGAAAUCCGUUUAAUUCAGUCCGUUGCUUCUCGCUUCGGUCUAAAUCUUCAAAAAGUGAAUUAACGAUAUGAAUUCAUCCGACUUCAGAAUAUUUGCCAAAUCAAAUCCUGUCCAAUUUUUGCUGUCGAUCUCAUUUGUUCGACCCUUCUUUAUAUUUUAUAGACCCUUAUUUUAUACCCCGAAAUAUCUAUAAAUUUCUUUAUAAAAAUAAGGGGAAGUAAAAGGAAAAUGUGAGAAAAAAAUCUGCUGCACGUCGGUACAGAUUUUUUUUUCAAGUCGUCGUUAUCUUCCUCCUGAUUUUCUCGCCACCGCGCAGCAUCGUCGCUAUCCUUCUUCCCCUGAUAUUUUUCUACAGCGCCGCCCCUGGGCUCUUCAAAAAUGCAGUCGGCGCUCAUCUUCUGGCCGAGUGCCCAUCUCCCUCCGCCGUGCCCUGGGUUGCGUGCUCCACCGCGCCGGUCGCUGCUUUCCCCAACCUCCACGGCGCUCCCUUCCUGCCUCAGCUCGGACCGCGCCCAGCCGAGCGGCUCCUCCCACGCGCGCUCCUCUGUCUCCCAUGGCGCGCGCGUGCCCCCUGGUCGGCUGCUGCUCCCUGCGCUUGCCGUGGCUCCCUGCUGCAGCUCGCCCCUAGCUCGCCGCGCGGCUCCCAUGGCGUGCUCCUCUAUGCCGAGCGGCUCUUCCCCACGGCGCCGUCGAAUCCCGUCUUCCUCUGCUCGCGCGGGCCGCGCCCCUGCUUCCCCUCCCUAGCCGAGCUCGCCGGUUCCCUUUCCCCAAGCUCCAUGGCUGGCCGCGCCCAGCGUCCUCCUCUCAGCUUCCCACGCGCACCGGCUUGCUCCCUGCUCGGUUCCGUGACCGCACCGUGUGCCCAUCUCCUGUGCGCGCGUGCUCCCUCCCUGUUCCUCCAAACCAGUCGAGCUCCUCCCAGUGUCCGUACCGAGCUCCUUCCCUACGCCGGUCGGAUCUCUCUAGUGCUCGCCCAGUCUGGCGCGGCAAACGGGGAAAGAAACAGCCGAGUUCCUCUGCGCGCAGCCACGUCUUCUCGCUCGGCCUGCUCCGGAUCCGAAGCUGGUCACCCUGUGUGCUCGACUUUGCCUUGUAGCAAAACCCCAACGCCGUCGAGCCUCGCUGUCCAUCGCGAAGUUCCCUGCUGUCAGCCUCCGCACCCGUCCUAGGCCGUCGUAGCCAGUUUGCCUCUGUCCCGUGGUGGUGUUGCGCUGCCGUCGAGUCCCGAUAUCGAUCUGGUGGUCGUCGAAGUGAAGCUCUGAACGAAUUCGACCACAUCCAGCACUACCCAUGUCGUUGUCGUUCGCCUUCGUGCUGUGAGCGAUAACAUCGUCAUUUCCUUCAUAUGCUCAUCCUCGAUCUCCGCCUCGCCAUCACCCUUAAUCACAGCACUGUGUCGACGACUUGCGAUCCUCACUCUCGCGCUCACGCUUCGUCGAAUGUCACUCCAGUACUCGUCAGAAGAAGAGCUUCAGCAGUUGAUUACUGUCGGGGACCAUAAUUAGGGGUACCCUCAAGACGCCUAAUUCUCAGCUGGUAACCCCCAUCAGCAUAAAGCUGCAAAGGCCUGAUGGGUGCGAUUAAGUCAGGAAUCAGUCCAUACGAGUGACUCGAUCACGCUUCGCCCGAGCCUAUCCUCGGACAAGGGCAGCCGACCUCGAGGGACUUCCGUCUCGCCCGAGGCCCCCCUUUAACGGCGGACACAUCUCCGGCUCGCCCGAGGCCUUGGCUUCGCUAAGAAGCAACCCUGACUAAAUCGCCGCACCGACUGACCGAGUUGCAGGAGCAUUUAACGCAAAGGCGGCCUGACACCUUUAUCCUGACGCGCGCCCCCCGGCAGAGCCGAAGUGACCGCCGUCACUCCGCCGCUCCACUGGCCGGUCUGACAGAAGGACAGCGCCGCCUGCGCCACUCCAACUGCAGCGCCACUCGACAGAGUGAGUCUGACAGGCAGUCAGACCUUGCCAAAGGCGCCAUAGGAAACUCCGCUCCGCCCGACCCAGGGCUCGGACUCGGGCUAAGACCCGGAAGACGGCGAACUCCGCUCCGCCCGACCCAGGGCUCGGACUCGGGCUAAGACCCGGAAGACGGCGAACUCUGCUCCGCCCGACCCAGGGCUCGGACUCGGGCUAAGACCCGGAAGACGGCGAACUCCGCUCCGCCCGACCCAGGGCUCGGACUCGGGCACAGCCCCAGAAGACGACGAACUCCGCUUCGCCCGACCACAGGGCUCGGACUCCGCCCUGGCCUCUGUCGAACGAUCUCCGCCUCGCCCGACCCAGGGGCUCGGGCUCGGCCUCGGCCACGGAAGACAGACUCGACCUCGGCUUCAGAGGAGCCCCCACGUCGUCCGACCUAGGGCACAGGCCCGCCACGUCAACGGGAAGCGCCAUCAUCAUCCUACCCCGAGCCGACUCGGGUCACAGAGAACAAGACCGGUGUCCCAUCUGGCUAGCUCCGCCAGAUGGGCAAUGAUGGCGCCCCACGAGCUCUGUGACGACGGCGGCUCUCAGCUCUCUUACGGAAGCAGGGGGACGUCAGCAAGGACUCGACCGCACCGACAGCUGUCCCUCCGCCAGGCUCCGCCGCUCCUCCGACAGCCACGACAUCACGCCAGCAGGGUGCCAAGAUCUCUCUGGCUGCCACAUUGGCAUGUACUUAGGGCGCUAGCUCUCCCUCCGCUAGACACGUAGCACUCUGCUACACCCCCAUUGUACACCUGGAUCCUCUCCUUACGCCUAUAAAGGAAGGACCAGGGCCUUCUUAGAGAAGGUUGGCCGCGCGGGACCGAGGACGGGACAGGCGCUCUCUUGGGGCCGCUCGCUUCCCUCACCCGCGUGGACGCUUGUAACCCCCCUACUGCAAGCGCACCCGACCUGGGCGCGGGACGAACACGAAGGCCGCGGGAUUUCCACCUCUCUCACGCCCGUCUCCGGCCACCUCGCCUUUCCCCCCUUCGCGCUCGCCCACGCGCUCGACCCAUCUGGGCUGGGGCACGCGGCACACUCACUCGUCGGCUCAGGGACCCCCCGGUCUCGAAACACCGACAGUUGGCGCGCCAGGUAGGGGCCUGCUGCGUGCUGACGAACAGCUUCCCGUCAAGCUCCAGAUGGGCAGUCUCCAGCAACCUCUCCGGCCCGGGACGGUGCUCCGUUUCGGGAGUCUUGAGUUCAUGUCCUUCGACGACAGCUACGACAUGAUACUCCUUCCACCGCCGCGCGACAACGACAAUGGCGGCCGACAACCCGCCCGCCGGCGGCGGAAUCGACGACAUCUUCCCCGCGUUGUGGAAGAACAACAGUCGAGCUCGCUCCGUCCUCUCCCCCACCAACGGAGGAGGAGGCGGGGCAACCAAGGCCAAGCGGGAGGCCGCGCUUCGUCGGCCGUCGAGCGAAUCGACGUUCCCAGCGCCCCAACGGAGGGCACGCCGGGCGUCGACCUCGCGUUCGGGACGAAGGCAAGCGCCGUCCCCCCGCGACGCGCUGAUCCCGAGCAAGAAGACGACGCCAGCGCGCUCGCGGAGAGCUUGCAGGACGUCGCCCUCGUACCUGAGACGACGGUGCAACCAGUCCCCGAUGUGACUACGUCGCUCCUCGUCGACCAAAAGGUACUGACUAACUCCCAUCUUACGUCAUUUCGACUCGGCCUCAACCCGCCUAGCGACCUCGCUUUGGCGGGCGCUCUCAUUGAGGCGAGUGCAACCCCACUGGGGUUUCGUAUGCGGUCGCCUUGGGACCGAUUGACGGACGUCUCGACCUACGGGCCCUCUGGGUCCGAGGAAGAUGACGAUCCCAGCAUCUGUUGGGAUUUCUCUGGAUUUGGCAACCCCAGUGCCAUGCGGGACUUCAUGACCGCAUGUGACUACUGCCUCUCCGACUGUUCCGACGGAAGCCGCAGCCUUGGCGACGAGGAUUGCGUUCCAAGCCGCGAAUGUUUCCACGUCGAGCUAGGGGAUCCCUCCAAAGGCAACCAUCUUGGCAUGCCGGAGGACGGUGAUUUUCCUAGGCCGGUGCCUCGCGCCGACAUCCCGCGGGAGCUAGCUGUGGUCCCCGUUCCGGCGGGGGGUCACGACCCACAGCUCGAGCAAGUCCGUGGGGCGCAGGCCAGGCUCGACGAGGGAACAGGGGCGCUUGAGACGAUCCGCCGGGACGUCGGGCAGGUAUGGGCGGGCCAACCCCCGGCCAGAGAAAUACGUCACCUGCCCCAGGGUCUCCAGCACCGCGUCGCCAACGAUGUCAGGGUCAGGCCGCCGCCCGCAUCCAGCGGGGUCGGUUAGAACCUGGCAGCCGCAGCGAUGCUCCUCCGCACGAUGCCGGAGCCAUCAACCACCGAGGGUCGGCGAAUCCAGGGAGAGCUCAAGAAUCUCCUGGAAGGCGCUGCGGCCCGACGGGCCGAGAGCACUGCCUCCCGAAGGCAGGGAUACCCCUCGGAACCUCACGCCGCGACUUCCCGAUUCAUGCGGGAAGCCUCGGUCUACACCGGGCGCAUGCGCAACACCGCGCCUGCGGCCCCGGGCCACCUCGGUAACGAGCAUCACCGUCGCGACCGUCGGGCCCACCUCGACGAAAGGGUGCGCCGAGGCUACCACCCCAGGCGUGGGGGGCGCUACGACAGCGGGGAGGAUCGGAGUCCCUCGCCCGAACCGCCCGGUCCGCAUGCCUUCAGUCGGGCCAUCCGACGGGCGCCAUUCCCGACCUGGUUCCGACCCCCGACUACUAUCACGAAGUACUCGGGGGAAACGAGACCGGAACUGUGGCUCGCGGACUACCGCCUGGCCUGCCAACUGGGUGGAACGGACGACGACAACCUCAUCAUCCGUAACCUUCCCCUGUUCCUCUCCGACACUGCUCGCGCCUGGUUGGAGCACCUGCCUCCGGGGCAGAUCUCCAACUGGGACGAUUUGGUCCAAGCCUUCGCCGGCAAUUUCCAGGGCACGUACGUGCGCCCCGGGAAUUCCUGGGACCUUCGGAGCUGCCGGCAACAGCCGGGAGAGUCGCUCUGGGACUACAUCCGGCGAUUCUCGAAGCAGCGCACCGAGCUGCCCAACAUCACCGACUCGGAUGUCAUCGGCGCGUUCCUUGCCGGCACCACCUGCCGUGACCUGGGAGCAAGUUGGGUCGCAAGACCCCCACCAGGGCGAGCGAGCUGAUGGACAUCGCCACCAAGUUCGCCUCUGGCCAGGAGGCGGUCGAGGCUAUCUUCCGAAAGGACAAGCAGCCCCAGGGCCGCCCAUCGGAAGAGGCUCCCGAGGCGUCUACUCCGCGCGGCGCCAAGAAGAAAGGCAAGAAGAAGUCGCAAUCGAAACGCGACGCCGCCGACGCGGACCUUGUCGCCGCCGCCGAGUACAAGAACCCUCGGAAGCCCCCCGGAGGUGCUAACCUCUUCGACAAGAUGCUCAAGGAGCCGUGCCCCUAUCAUCAGGGGCCCGUCAAGCACACCCUCGAGGAGUGCGUCAUGCUUCGGCGCCACUUCCACAGGGCCGGGCCACCCGCAGAGGGUGGCAGGGCCCACGACGACGACAAGAAGGAAGAUCACCAAGCAGGAGAGUACCCCGAGGUCCGCGACUGCUUCAUGAUCUACGGUGGGCAUGCGGCGAAUGCCUCGGCUCGGCAUCGCAAGCAAGAGCGCCGGGAGGUCUGCUCGGUGAAGGUGGCGGCGCCAGUCUACCUAGACUGGUCCGACAAGCCCAUCACCUUCGGCCAGGCUGACCACCCCGACCACGUGCCGAGCCCGGGGAAAUACCCGCUCGUCGUCGACCCCAUCGUCGGCAACGUCAGGCUCACCAAGGUCCUGAUGGAUGGGGGCAGCUGCCUCAACAUCAUCUACGCCGAGACCCUCAGGCUCCUGCGCGUCGAUCUGUCCUCCGUCCGAGCAGGCGCUGCGCCCUUCCACGGGAUCAUCCCUGGGAAGCGCGUCCAGCCCCUCGGACGACUCGACCUUACCGUCUGCUUCGGAACGCCCUCCAACUUCCGAAGGGAGACCUUGACGUUCGAGGUGGUCGGGUUCCGAGGGACCUACCACGCGGUACUGGGGAGACCAUGCUACGCGAAGUUCAUGGCCGUCCCUAACUACACCUACCUGAAGCUCAAGAUGCCGGGCCCCAACGGGGUCAUCAUCGUCGGCCCCACGUACAAACACGCGUUCGAAUGCGACGUGGAGUGCGUGGAGUACGCCGAGGCCCUCGCCGAGUCCGAGGCCCUCAUCGCCGACCGGGAGAACCUCUCCAAAGAGGUGCCAGACGUGAAGCGUCAUGCCGGCAACUUCGAGCCAGCGGAGACGGUUAAGGCCGUCCCUCUCGACCCCAGUGGCGACACCUCCAAGCAGAUCCGGAUUGGUUCCGGGCUCGACCCCAAAUAGGAAGCAGUGCUCGUCGACUUUCUCCGCGCAAACGCCGACGUCUUUGCGUGGAGUCCCUCGGACAUGCCCGGCAUACCGAGGGAUGUCGCCGAGCACUCGCUGGAUAUUCGGGCCGGAGCCCGACCCGUCAGGCAGCCUCUGCGCCGAUUCGACGAGGAGAAGCGCAGAGUGAUAGGCGAGGAGAUCCACAAGCUAAUGGCAGCAGGGUUCAUCAAAGAGGUAUUCCAUCCCGAAUGGCUUGCCAACCCUGUGCUUGUGAGGAAGAAAGGGGGGAAAUGGCGGAUGUGUGUAGACUACACUAGUCUCAACAAACAUGUCCGAAGGUUCCCUACCCUCUACCUCGCAUCGAUCAAAUCGUGGAUUCCACUGCUGGGUGCGAAACCCUGUCCUUCCUCGAUGCCUACUCAGGGUAUCACCAAAUCCGGAUGAAAGAGUCCGACCAGCUCGCGACUUCUUUCAUCACGCCCUUCGGCAUGUACUGCUAUGUCCCCAUGCCGUUCGGUUUGAGGAAUGCGGGCGCGACGUACCAGCGGUGCAUGAACCAUGUGUUCGGCGAACACAUCGGUCGCACAGUCGAGGCCUACGUCGAUGACAUUGUAGUCAAGACAAGGAAGGCUUCCGACCUCCUCUCCGACCUUGAAGCGACAUUCCGAUGUCUCAAGGCGAAAGGAGUCAAGCUCAAUCCCGAGAAGUGUGUCUUCGGGGUGCCCCGGGGCAUGCUCCUGGGGUUCAUUGUCUCCGAGCAAGGCAUCGAAGCCAACCCAGAGAAGAUCACAGCCAUCACCAGCAUGGGGCCUAUCAAGGACUUAAAAGGUGUACAGAGGGUCAUGGGAUGUCUUGCGGCCCUGAGCCGCUUCAUCUCACGCCUCGGCGAAAGAGGUCUGCCUCUAUACCGCCUCUUAAGGAAGGCCGAGAGUUUCGCUUGGACCCCUGAGGCCGAGGAAGCUCUCGGGAACCUGAAGGCGCUCCUUACAAAGGCGCCUAUCUUGGUGCCCCCAGCUGAUGGAGAAGCCCUCUUGGUCUACAUCGCCGCGACCACUCAGGUGGUUAGCGCCGCGAUUGUGGUCGAGAGGCAAGAAGAAGGGCAUGCAUUGCCCGUUCAGAGGCCAGUCUACUUCGUCAGCGAGGUAUUGUCCGAGACCAAGAUCCGCUACCCACAAGUUCAGAAGCUGCUGUAUGCUGUGAUCCUGACGAGGCGGAAGUUACGACAUUACUUCGAGUCUCAUCCGGUAACUGUGGUGUCAUCCUUCCCCCUGGGGGAGAUCAUCCAGUGCCGAGAGGCCUCGGGCAGGAUCGCAAAGUGGGCGGUGGAAAUCAUGGGCGAAACAAUCUCGUUCACCCCUCGGAAGGCCAUCAAGUCCCAGGUGUUGGCGGACUUCGUAGCCGAAUGGGUCGACACCCAGCUACCGACGGCUCCGAUCCAACCGGAGCUCUGGACCAUGUUUUUCGACGGGUCGCUGAUGAAGACGGGAGCCGGCGCGGGCCUGCUCUUCAUCUCGCCCCUCGGGAAGCACCUACACUACGUGCUACGCCUCCAUUUCCCGGCGUCCAACAAUGUGGCCGAGUACGAGGCUCUGGUCAACGGGUUGCAGAUCGCCAUCGAGCUAGGGGUCAGACGCCUCGACGCCCGCGGUGACUCGCAGCUCGUCAUCGACCAAGUCAUGAAGAACUCCCACUGCCGCGACCCGAAGAUGGAGGCCUACUGCGAUGAAGUUCGGCGCCUGGAAGACAAGUUCUUCGGGCUCGAGCUUAACCACAUCGCUCGGCGCUACAACGAGACUGCGGAUGAGUUGGCUAAAAUAGCCUCGGGGCGAACGACGGUCCCCCCGGACGUCUUCUCCCGGGAUCUGCAUCAACCCUCCGUCAAGAUCGACGACACGCCCGAGCCCGAGGCACCCUCGGCUCAGCCCGAGGCGCCCUCGGCUCAGCCCGAGGCGCCCUCGGUUCGGCCCGAGGUACCCUCGGCUCCCGGGGCCGAGGCACUGCACGUCGAGGAGGAGCAGAACGGGGCCUCGCCUGAUCGAAAUUGGCAGACCCCGUACCUGCAAUAUCUCCGCCAAGGAGAGCUACCCCUCGACCAAGCCGAGGCUCGGCGGGUAGCGCGACGCGCCAAGUCAUUCGUCUUGCUGGGCGAUGAGGAGGAGCUCUACCACCGCAGCCCCUCGGGCAUCCUACAGCGAUGCAUCUCCAUCGCCGAAGGUCAGGAACUCCUGCGAGAAAUACACUCGGGGGCUUGCGGCCAUCACGCAGCGCCUCGAGCCCUUGUCGGGAAUGCCUUCCGGCAAGGCUUCUACUGGCCAACGGCGGUGGCUGACGCCUCUAGAAUUGUCCGCACCUAUGAAGGGUGCCAAUUCUAUGCGAAGCAGACCCACCUGCCCGCUCAGGCUCUGCAGAUGAUACCCAUCACCUGGCCCUUUGCUGUAUGGGGUCUGGACCUCGUCGGUCCCUUGCAGAAGGCGCCCGGGGGCUACACGCACCUGCUGGUCGCCAUCGACAAAUUCUCCAAGUGGAUCGAGGUCCGACCCCUGAACAGCAUCAGGUCCGAGCAGGCGGUGGCGUUCUUCACCAACAUCAUUCAUCGCUUCGGGGUCCCGAACUCCAUCAUCACCGACAACGGUACCCAGUUCACCGACAAAAAAUUCUUGGAUUUUUGCGAGGAUCACCACAUCCGGGUGGACUGGGCCGCCGUGGCCCAUCCCAUGUCGAAUGGGCAAGUGGAGCAUGCCAACGGCAUGAUUCUGCAAGGGCUCAAGCCCCGGAUCUACAACGGCCUCAACAAGUUCGGCAAGCGAUGGAUGAAGGAACUCCCCUCGGUGGUCUGGAGCCUGAGGACGACGCCAAGCCGAGCCACGGGUUUCACGCCGUUCUUCCUGGUCUACGAGGCCGAGGCCAUCUUGCCCACUGACCUGGAAUACGGCUCCCCGGGGACGAGGGCCUACAACGAUCAAAGCAACCAAGCUAGCCGAGAAGAAUCGCUGGACCAGCUGGGAGAGGCUCGGGACAAGGCCUUACUACACUCGGCGCGGUACCAGCAGUCCCUGCGACGCUACCACGCCCGAGGGGUCCGGCCCCGAGACCUCCAGGUGGGCGACCUGGUGCUUCGGCUGCGGCAAGACGCCCGAGGGAGGCACAAACUCACGCCCCCCUGGGAGGGGCCAUUCGUCAUCGCCAAAGUUCUGAAGCCCGGAACAUACAAACUGGCCAACAAUCAAGGCGAGAUCUACGGCAACGCUUGGAACAUCAAACAGCUACGUCGCUUCUACCCUUAAGAUGUUUUCAAGUUGUUCAUAUACCUCGCACCCACGCAAAGUUUAGUCAUCAAGGAAGGGUCGGCCUCGCCUCGGCAAAGCCCGACCCUCCCUCGGGGGCUAAAAGGGGGGGAGACCCCCUCUGCGUCGAAUUUUUUCCUCGAAAAAAGAUCUCUUUUUAGCAGAAUUUCUUUCGUGCUUUUUGACUACUUCGAAAAGCGGAUCCUGGAAACGACGGAGUACACGUAAGCAGCCAAGGCUGACCGAGCCGAGGGACUCCUACGCCUCCGGGAUACGGAUACCUCACUCAUCACCUUCUGCGAUAAGUAACUCGCGUUCGGAUAAAGUGACUCCGUGGACCGGACAAGUCUUUACGUUCGGAAGCUCUUCUGCCGAAGCGGUCCUUCAAGCUUUCUCGACUGAGUCGGAGACAGGGCCUCAUGGACGGGUGAAAGUACGCGUAAGCGGCAAGGCCGACCGAGCCGAGGGACUCCUACGCCUCCGGGAUACGGAUACCUCACUCAUCACCUUCCGCGAAAAGCAACUCUCGCCCGCACAAACAUCCCUGUUACCGACGAAAAAGUCCAGAUGCUCGGAAUAAGAGGAAAAAAGGCGCAGCUUUACAGCGCAGCGAGGGUGUGUUUUCUGGCCUCAGCGGCCGCAGAAGGCACACGCUACAAGGUAAUCUGAUCCUGCAGGCUCGGGUCUUCACGCUGGAAGGGGGCUAGCACCCUCGGCAUCGACAACACCUUCAGCGAGAUCCGACCCAGCCUCGGACGGCGACGCGGUCCAGGGACUUCUCCGGGAAUUCGGCCCGAGCAGGCGGCUCGGCCGGUUACCCCUGGGGCCUCGGCCGACCAUCUUCCAAGGGCGCCAGCCCGGCCCGAGGCCUCGGCUGAUCGACUCCGGCGUCGGCCCCGCUGACGGACAACCCGGCUAGGCUCCGGCCAACCAGGUUCCCAUUUUCGAGCCAACUCCGCCUCUGUUCGAGCUGAUAUCGCUACCCCUGGCCUCGGCUCAUCGAAGAGCGGCCAAGGGGUCUCCUUAACUAAGCUAGAGGAGCCUCAAACAACAAGGCCGAUCGAGCCGAGGGACUCCUAUACGCCUCCGGGAUACGGAUACCUCACUCGUCACCUUGACACGGGGCGACUCAUGCUUGGUAAAGCGGUUCAGAUAAUCAACAGGCGAGACUUAGCGCUCGAAAAUGAGGAAAAAACACGGCUCCGUGCCGAAACUACAUACAUAUUCAGGCCUCGACAGCCACAAUGAACAAAAACACGCUGGCAUUCAAGGUGCCAUCACAAACGGAACUCUGGUUCCCCCUCCGCGAGUACGAGCAACCCCACUCCAUGGGGGAAGGCCUGCGGAGCAACGGAAGACCGACGAACGGCGCGCCGUCACCUGCUCCAGCAGCGGCGACGACGACGACUUCUGCUCCGGGGGGUCGAACAGCAGCAGCACUGACCUCAGGGCGGAUGUCGCUGCCAGGAGACCCCCGCCCAUGCCAAAACUCGUGAGGCAAGGACGGGCAGAAGGCCGUAGAGUUGGAGGUCAGUCCGUGGCCGGCCAUGGCUAUCACGCCGACGGAAGAACCUCUUCCAGCUGCCGUGGCAGACGCCGGCGCCGCGAGCGGCUCCGAAGCCACUCGCGCUCGAAAGCCGGGCACGCUGCAGCUGCCAGCGCCACGGACGACAACCGCUCCUCCCCCCAUCACUGAGUGAAGGAGCGGACCAUCGCCCAUGCAGGGGCCGACCCCAACUCGGCGCACUCCCCUCCCCAGCCUUGGUGAUGAAAAUCCUUGAGGCUGAGGGAGGGCUCGCAGCCCGGCUCGCUUUCCCCCACCAUCAAGCUGGAGGUCACCAUCUUGGGUGACCGCCGGUGGAGGGGUGCGGCCGGGCUGCAUGAUGAAAAUCCUUGAAGCCGAACGAUGGCUGAAAGGUACCAACUCCCGCGGAGUUGCGUUCCUCCAACGAUGAGGCGAGAAGACGGCGGGUACCCCCCAUCCGGGGGCUUGGAAGGUGAAAAGACGCGACACAUGAGGGAGGAAGAAGACAUGGUUGCCUUCCAAAAGGGGUCACCCUCCUUUUAAAGGCAGCUCUCCCUACGUGCGCCCCCAAACGCCACGGGCUGAGUCUUCUCCAACACACUCCAAGGCCCUCCCCUGCGGCGAGGGGGCUGGGUCCCGCAUGUCAUGCAAACCGACUCAGAGCAGAAGAAGCCAAAGCGCCGCGCGCGGUGCAUGCAACCGUCCAGCGGUUACAAGCGCCCCCCCACUUUUGCCCAGACCAACGGGCGGAAGGAGUGGGCAGCCAUGCAGGCGGCAUGCAACCGCGCCAAGUGGACACGCUUCUCCGACUCCCAGCGCGCCAGCACGGAGGCCCAGGCCCACGCGUCGCGCAACCGGCGCGCCGAAUGCUGCAUGCAGGCAACUGCACCGCCACUUGCGCCACCGCUGCGCCUCUUCGGUUGCGGAACCAAUGCCGCGACUCGAGGCGACCCAGCGGCCCCAGCCUGGCACGAUGGUCAAUACGGCCGAAAGUGGGCCGGCAGUAAUGACGGUGGCAGGUGGGCGGGAGCAGCGGUCGCGUCGUCAGCCAGGCUCACGUCCCAUCCAGGGACAGCAAGAGAGCCUCCUCUCACGGCGUGAAGACGACGCACCCGUGAUCCGUCCCUCGAACGGCUCGCGCACGCGCAACGGCCGCCCCGCCAACCACUCACCCCGUCGCAUUAACUUCGCGGCGGGACAGGCGGCGCCUCUGGCAGGAGAAGCGGGCGACGCUUCGCCUUCGCCGUAAUAACCGCGCCAAAAAAGGUACGCCACGUCGUUCGAUUUCGUAUCCUUUUCCUUUUUUCCUCUUUCUCUAUCUCUUGCAACAGGGACCGGGAAAGGGGGAUACCCCGAAAAGGAUCCUUCCCUGUGAAGGAACCGGGCUCCGAGCCCCCCUACUGAUCAGAGGUUCGAAGACUGGCCCUCCGAGGGGUUCAACAGUCGCCUCAGAUCGCGUGGGCCCUACACCCACUACUGGUCAGAGGUUCGAAGGCCGGCCCCCCGAAGGGCUCCACGGCCGCCUCAGGCUACUCGGGCUCCGCGCCCAUUACUGAUCAGGGGUUCGAAGGCUGGCCCCCGAAGGGUUCACAGUCGCCUCAGACGCCGAGCGAGGGAUGACCAGGGGUACGUUCGAUACAUAACCAAGGCUCGGGCUGCGCUCCCGAGGUACCCUAGGACAUUUCCGAGACCAGCGGGAGCGAUCUUGUAACGGAAUCCCAUCGGAGGGAGGCAUCAAGCCCUCGGACCCCGUCGCCAGGGGACUGGGUCCGGCAGAUCACCCGCAGGUACUUUUGGGCGUGCCUCUGAGCCCCUAGCCGACCCCAACGAACGGGGCACGGACGUCCACUCGGAUUACCCGCUUGCAGCUCACCGGAGACACCAUGUUCGGUGCCCAUCGAGGGUAACAUGGCGCUCUCCCCCCUCCUCCUUGCGAAAAGGCGACGUAGGGGCGUAUGUAAAAAAAGCCGAGUCUGUCCCUGAUCGCCCUCUCGCCCUGUGCGGAGGCUCGGGGGCUGCUCUCGCAAACCCGGCUCCGGCCAAACCGUUGACAGCGUCAACAUACCAGCCAGAGAGCUUGGGCCCCGACCGUGCACCCGGGCUACAGCCAGUUCGCAUGAGGGAACAACCAGACCAGCCGAAGCAUUACGCAAGGCAUUAAGACCUCGAAGGAGUGAAACCACUCCUCCGAGGCCACGGGGGCUACACCCGGCGGGUGCGCUCGCGCGCACCCACCGGAACAAAAUGCAAAAAAGUGCGACGAAAGCCUCCAAGCGAGUGCUAACACUCCCUUCGAGGCUCGAGGGCUACUGUCGGGGACCAUAAUUAGGGGUACCCUCAAGACGCCUAAUUCUCAGCUGGUAACCCCCAUCAGCAUAAAGCUGCAAAGGCCUGAUGGGUGCGAUUAAGUCAGGAAUCAGUCCAUACGAGUGACUCGAUCACGCUUCGCCCGAGCCUAGCCUCGGACAAGGGCAGCCGACCUCGAGGGACUUCCGUCUCGCCCGAGGCCCCCUUUAACGGCGGACACAUCUCCGGCUCGCCUGAGGCCUUGGCUUCGCUAAGAAGCAACCCUGACUAAAUCGCCGCACCGACUGACCGAGUUGCAGGAGCAUUUAACGCAAAGGCGGCCUGACACCUUUAUCCUGACGCGCGCCCCCCGGCAGAGCCGAAGUGACCGCCGUCACUCCGCCGCUCCACUGGCCGGUCUGACAGAAGGACAGCGCCGCCUGCGCCACUCCAACUGCAGCGCCACUCGACAGAGUGAGUCUGACAGGCAGUCAGACCUUGCCAAAGGCGCCAUAGGAAACUCCGCUCCGCCCGACCCAGGGCUCGGACUCGGGCUAAGACCCGGAAGACGGCGAACUCCGCUCCGCCCGACCCAGGGCUCGGACUCGGGCUAAGACCCGGAAGACGGCGAACUCCGCUCCGCCCGACCCAGGGCUCGGACUCGGGCUAAGACCCGGAAGACGGCGAACUCCGCUCCGCCCGACCCAGGGCUCGGACUCGGGCUAAGACCCGGAAGAUGGCGAACUCCGCUCCGCCCGACCCAGGGCUCGGACUCGGGCACAGCCCCAGAAGACGACGAACUCCGCUUCGCCCGACCAUAGGGCUCGGACUCCGCCCUGGCCUCUGCCGAACGAUCUCCGCCUCGCCCGACCUAGGGGCUCGGGCUCGGCCUCGGCCACGGAAGAUAGACUCGACCUCGGCUUCGGAGGAGCCCCCACGUCGUCCGACCUAGGGCACAGGCCCGCCACGUCAACGGGAAGCGCCAUCAUCAUCCUACCCCGAGCCGACUCGGGUCACAGAGAACAAGACCGGUGUCCCAUCUGGCUAGCUCUGCCAGAUGGGCAAUGAUGGCGCCCCACGAGCUCUGUGACGACGGCGGCUCUCAGCUCUCUUACGGAAGCAGGGGGACGUCAGCAAGGACUCGACCGCACCGACAGCUGUCCCUCCGCCAGGCUCCGCCGCUCCUCCGACAGCCACGACAUCACGCCAGCAGGGUGCCAAGAUCUCUCCGGCUGCCACAUUGGCAUGUACUUAGGGCGCUAGCUCUCCCUCCGCUAGACACGUAGCACUCUGCUACACCCCCAUUGUACACCUGGAUCCUCUCCUUACGCCUAUAAAGGAAGGACCAGGGCCUUCUUAGAGAAGGUUGGCCGUGCGGGACCGAGGACGGGACAGGCGCUCUCUUGGGGCCGCUCGCUUCCCUCACCCGCGUGGACGCUUGUAACCCCCCUACUGCAAGCGCACCCGACCUGGGCGCGCGACGAACACGAAGGCCGCGGGAUUUCCACCUCUCUCACGCCCGUCUCCGGCCACCUCGCCUUUCCCCCCUUCACGCUCGCCCACGCGCUCGACCCAUCUGGGCUGGGGCACGCGGCACACUCACUCGUCGGCUCAGGGACCCCCCGGUCUCGAAACACCGACAAUUACUGAAGAAAAGAAGAACCCUGGGUGACAUCUACCUAGUACUCGAUGGAAAGUCUGAAAUAGAAUUUAUCGCCGUGUCCAUGGAAGUGGAGCGACUUAAUAUUGGUAAGCGAACUUGUUACUUCGGAUAGUUGGAAUGGUAAUUUGAUUGGCUAGAUUUAUUAAUCGUAAUAAUCCUCGUGUUGGCACAAGCGCGUUGUGGUAGUGUUAAAUAUGUGUGAAAUACGAUGGAGUUAGUAAUGCGAAAGGUAGAUUAAAUUAUACAAUAUUCAGGUGAGCUGAUGAUGUAAAAGAUAGGCUUAGUAUUCCUAUCAGCUAGUUGAUAGAUUUUCUAGUGUCAUUAUGUCAAUUUGGUUAAUUGAUAUAGUCGAUGCCCUGCUUAAUUAGUUAGUUUAUUCUAGGUUUGGUAUUUAGUUCGAUGUCAUGAGGGAUGUGCAAAUUACCUCGUGUAAUUAACAGUGAAUGGCAUCGACCUAUCUAAUUAGCGUGGAAUUCAAGAUAAUUGAGAAACACAAUUUAGAAAGUUUGUUAAUAUGCCCCCAUACUCUAAGUUGUCGGUAUUCGAAAAUAGUGAAUAAAUAUGUGACGAGUAAUUUGAUAUUGGGUGUUUUGACAAAAGACUUGUGCUUAGCUUAUUAUUACUUGAUGUUUGAAGUAGAUGCGAUUACGCUAGAAAAGUGUAAUAAUUGGGCGUAGUCGUAUAUCGGUAACUAGUGUUUCCGUAUAAAAUUGUACAAUGCCUCGCCGCUAGGUGUUUAAUUCACUAUCGCGUAGCACUAUUUAGGUUUGUAAUAUUCUUGUCUAUAUGUAUUCAUGUGCAUAAUGCAUUUCAUUCAGGUACGUUAAUUAAUCGCGUGAUGCGGAAGACGAGCCAAGUCGACCCCAAGCGCGGGCUAAUCCGCAUGGUGAUGCUGAUGGACGAACCUGCCUGAACAAAUGUCAAGACAAAAGGAUGGUCAUCAAGUGGUCGCCACCUAACAAACACUAACGUAGUGUUUAUUCCAGGCAAGCCCUGGUGCAUGCAACCCCUUCCUUGUGUUUUUAAAUAAUUUUUUACACACUUUAAGUCUAGCGAAAUGUGCAUUAGGUUUAUAGGAGUUGCUUGGAACCCUUUGAUGCAUUGGCUACCCUGAAAUCCAUUCCUUCUAUAGAUACUUCUGGUGAAGUAUCAAAUAUGAUUUACAAAAUUGCUUAGCCUUGCCUAGAGGUAAAUCUUGCGGAUAGAGGUUGUCCUUUGCGUUAAUGCCUAGCUCAGGGGUUAUCCUGAGGAAGGAUGGCUUCUGCCUGCAAGAAUAUUUUCAUUGGGA